UACGCAGGGCGCAAGCGUUGUCCGGAAUCAUUGGGCGUAAAGCGCGCGUAGGCGGCCCGGUAAGUCCGUUGUAAAAGUCGAAGGCUCAACCUUCGAAAGCCGAUGGAUACUGCCGGGCUAGAGUACGGAAGAGGCGAGUAGAAUUCCUGGUGUAGCGGUGGAAUGCGCAGAUAUCAGGAGGAAUACCCAUAGCGAAGGCAGCUCGCUGGGACGUUACUGACGCUGAGGCGCGAAAGCGUGGGGAGCGAACAGG
rnacentral:rRNA from 1 species